UUGAAGCAGCAAAAGACACGUUUUGGG
rnacentral:sRNA from 1 species